GACGAACGCUGGCGGCGUGCCUAAUACAUGCAAGUCGAACGCUGAAGGAGGAGCUUGCUUCUCUGGAUGAGUUGCGAACGGGUGAGUAACGCGUAGGUAACCUGCCUGGUAGCGGGGGAUAACUAUUGGAAACGAUAGCUAAUACCGCAUAAGAGUAGAUGUUGCAUGACAUUUGCUUAAAAGGUGCAAUUGCAUCACUACCAGAUGGACCUGCGUGGUAUUAGCGAGUUGGUGGGGUAACGGCUCACCAAGGCGACGAUACAUAGCCGACCUGAGGGGGGGGUCCGCCAACCUGGGAAUGGGGCCACGCCCCAGAUCCUUCGGGGAGCCACCGUAGGGGAACUUCGGCAAAGGGCGGAAGUCUGACCGAGGCACGCCGGGUUGGUUGAGGAGGUUCUCCGAUCGUAAAGCUCUGUUGUAAGGGAAGGACGAGUGUGAGAGUGGAAAGUUCACACUGUGACGGUACCUUACCAGAAAGCGACGGCUAACUACGUG
rnacentral:rRNA from 1 species